UUGAGGAUUGGGGCGCCCGCGCUGCUGUAGGUUGCUGGUGGAGGACAGCGGGGCCGGGACUCGGAGAAAACGGAGAGUCGACACGGUGAGAGAUGGCGGCCGAGAGCUGACUCGUCCGUAGCACACACACCGCAUGUCACUUGCGGGCUCAGCGACACAACGCCCCAAAUACCCUAGAGGUUCGGAAAGGGCCCAAACCUGGGAGAUGCCCCCUUUCCUUGGGUCUGCUUUGAACAGCCAAUAGGAGGCGGUGUGUGAACAAGUGACAGGCAGAUAAAUCUUCCCCUGUGUGCUUAGAGAGGCCAUGUCCUAUCUCACCGCGGGUGCUGCUUAUAAGCAUUGGCCAAGGAUAUCUGACCAAAAUUCAGAUAAAGGAAUGGGAGACGAUCGCCCCUUUGUGUGCAGCGCCCCCGGCUGCGGGCAG